UCCCGAGUGGUCUAGAUCUUAGGAUUCCUGGUUUACACCCACGCGGCCCGGGUUAGAUUCCCGGCAUGGGAA